ensembl:lincRNA Gm17501 predicted gene, 17501
AACUGGCCUGAAUAUGCUGUGUUCCUUUGCUGAGGGGAGUUGGAGGGUGAGGGGGGGAAGCCUAGAGGUCCGGUAUACGGCACAGCGUUCAAACAGACACGCCAUUCCAUAGAUGCCUUUAAAAAUCAGAUUAAAGUUUUCUAACGAGGAUGUGUGGGGUUUUGUUUCUGGACUCCAACUGGGCAAUCUCGGAGAAUGGGAUUGUCCCAGAGGAGACGCGGGGAGAACAUUAGCGUCAGCUGUCCAUUUAAAGCAGCGGGUGUGUGGUGAGAAGAGGAGGGGUGCUGGAGUCGUCAAGGCCAGGAGGUGCUGGAGGAGGAGAGGCUGCGGGAACCUCUGUGCAUCGCCUCUGCAGACAGCAUGCUGGGAACCAGGAGAAACAGCGGCUGCUUAAGUCCUUGCCUAGGAUGGUCCAGCAACUCCAGACGUGCUGUCGCCUUCUCACCUCCUCUGCUGAGAGCUACAGAUCCUUCGUUGACAGACAGGGAGGGAAAUGUGCAAAUGGAGUGGACACGAGCAAUUUGUCCUCUGAGAGGCUCCAUCCAGCAGCUGACUCAGACAGAUGCAGACAUCCACAGCCAGAGGAUGGAGCUUGGGGACUCCUAUGGAAGAAUAGGAGGAAGAAUUGUGGGCUCCGAAGGGGAUAGGAACUCCACAGGAAGACCAACAGAGUCAACUAACCUUUACCCUUGGGAUUUCAGCGUCUGAACCACCAACCAAAGAACAUACACAGGCUGGACCUAGGCUUCCCCACAUAUAUGUACAGUUGGACCUCCACGUGGGUCCUCAACAACUAGACCGAGGGCUAUC